rnacentral:rRNA from 1 species
UACGUAGGGGGCAAGCGUUGUCCGGAAUCACUGGGCGUAAAGGGUGCGUAGGCGGCUUGGUAAGUCGGGUGUGAAAGCCCCGGGCUCAGCCUGGGAAGGGCACUCGAAACUGCCGAGCUGGAGUGCCGGAGGGGAGAGUGGAAUUCCUGGUGUAGCGGUGAAAUGCGUAGAUAUCAGGAGGAACACCAAUGGCGAAGGCAGCUCGCUGGGACGGUACUGACGCUGAGGCGCGAAAGCGUGGGGAGCAAACAGG